rnacentral:lncRNA from 1 species
CCGUCUGCGUCUGUCUCUUCCCCUCUCAUCCCAGGGAUCCCAGUCAUAUUGGACGAAGGCUCCUACUCCAGCGACCUCAACUGUUUACAUCUGCAAUGACUGGAUUCCCAAAUAAAGUCGCAUUCUGAGGUUUGGGGAAGGAGAACCAUUAACACUAGAUGGAGGCCCUACUGGGACCUUUCCAGCCAUCGGCCAUGGAGCGACGAUGGGCUCGAGGUCACUGGGCCAAACUGCCUG